GGCCUGGUGGUGGAGUGGUAACACAUCUACUUUAAGUUGAUGCCGUCGGGUAGAACUUUUCAGUGGGGGAUCCUUGUUCGAAUCAAGGUCAGGCCA